UACGUAGGUGGCAAGCGUUGUCCGGAUUUACUGGGCGUAAAGAGCGCGCAGGCGGCUGGGCAAGUCCGAUGUGAAAGCUUCCGGCUUAACUGGAAAAUUGCAUCGGAAACUGCUCGGCUUGAAGGUGGGAGAGGGUAGCGGAAUUCCCGGUGUAGCGGUGAAAUGCGCAGAUAUCAGGAGGAACACCGGUGGCGAAGGCGGAUCUCUGGGCCUUACCUGACGCUGAGGCGCGAAAGCUAGGGGAGCGAACAGG
rnacentral:rRNA from 1 species